rnacentral:rRNA from 1 species
GACCCGUUAUCCGGGUUGCGGACAGUGUCUGGUGGGUAGUUUGACUGGGGCGGUCUCCUCCUAAAGAGUAACGGAGGAGCACGAAGGUUGGCUAAUCCUGGUCGGACAUCAGGAGGUUAGUGCAAUGGCAUAAGCCAGCUUGACUGCGAGCGUGACGGCGCGAGCAGGUGCGAAAGCAGGUCAUAGUGAUCCGGUGGUUCUGAAUGGAAGGGCCAUCGCUCAACGGAUAAAAGGUACUCCGGGGAUAACAGGCUGAUACCGCCCAAGAGUUCAUAUCGACGGCGGUGUUUGGCACCUCGAUGUCGGCUCAUCACAUCCUGGGGCUGAAGUAGGUCCCAAGGGUAUGGCUGUUCGCCAUUUAAAGUGGUACGCGAGCUGGGUUUAGAACGUCGUGAGACAGUUCGGUCCCUAUCUGCCGUGGGCGCUGGAGAACUGAGGGGGGCUGCUCCUAGUACGAGAGGACCGGAGUGGACGCAUCACUGGUGUUCGGGUUGUCAUGCCAAUGGCACUGCCCGGUAGCUAAAUGCGGAAGAGAUAAGUGCUGAAAGCAUCUAAGCACGAAACUUGCCCCGAGAUGAGUUCUCCCUGACUCCUUGAGAGUCCUGAAGGAACGUUGAAGACGACGACGUUGAUAGGCCGGGUGUGUAAGCGCAGCGAUGCGUUGAGCUAACCGGUACUAAUGAACCGUGAG